rnacentral:rRNA from 1 species
GACGAACGCUAGCGGCGUGCUUAAUACAUGCAAGUCGAACGGAAAGGCCCUGCUUUUGUGGGGUGCUCGAGUGGCGAACGGGUGAGUAACACGUGAGUAACCUGCCCUUGACUUUGGGAUAACUUCAGGAAACUGGGGCUAAUACCGGAUAGGAGCUCCUGCUGCAUGGUGGGGGUUGGAAAGUUUCGGCGGUUGGGGAUGGACUCGCGGCUUAUCAGCUUGUUGGUGGGGUAGUGGCUUACCAAGGCUUUGACGGGUAGCCGGCCUGAGAGGGUGACCGGCCACAUUGGGACUGAGAUACGGCCCAGACUCCUACGGGAGGCAGCAGUGGGGAAUAUUGCACAAUGGGCGGAAGCCUGAUGCAGCAACGCCGCGUGCGGGAUGACGGCCUUCGGGUUGUAAACCGCUUUCGCCUGUGACGAAGCGUGAGUGACGGUAAUGGGUAAAGAAGCACCGGCUAACUACGUG